rnacentral:rRNA from 1 species
AUACGUAGGUGGCGAGCGUUGUCCGGAAUUACUGGGUGUAAAGGGCGUGUAGGCGGGACGUUAAGUCAGAUGUGAAAUACCCGAGCUCAACUUGGGUGCUGCAUUUGAAACUGACGUUCUUGAGUGCAGGAGAGGAAAGCGGAAUUCCUAGUGUAGCGGUGAAAUGCGUAGAGAUUAGGAAGAACACCGGUGGCGAAGGCGACUUUCUGGACUGUAACUGACGCUGAGGCUCGAAAGCGUGGGGAGC